GGAGGAAUACCCAAGCGGUUGAAGGGGUCGGUCUUGAAAACCGAUAGGUCGUGUGAGCGGCGCUAGGGUUCGAAUCCCUAUUCCUCCGCCA
rnacentral:tRNA from 1 species